rnacentral:rRNA from 1 species
GUAGUCAUAUGCUUGUCUCAAAGCUUAAGCCAUGCAAGUCUCAGUACGAGCUGACUUAAAGUGAAACCGCAAAAGGCUCAGUAAACCGGUCAUAGUUUACCGGAUAUAUGCCACUCACGUGGAUAACUGUGGUAAUUCUAGAGCUAAUACAUGCAAACAAGUCCCGACCAGCGAUGGAGAGGACGCUUUUAUUGGAUCAAAACCAUUCGCCCGAGUAAUCGGGCGUCGGCUUGAUGACUCUAGAUCACACCACAGAUCGCACGGUCACAGUACCGGUGACAUAUCCUUCAAAUGUCUGACUUAUCAGCUGUCGAUGGUAGACUCUGUGUCUACCAUGGCGCUCACGGGUGACGGGGAAUCAGGGUUCGAUUCCGGAGAGGGAGCCUGAGAAACGGCUACCACAUCCAAGGAAGGCAGCAGGCACGCAAAUUACCCACUCCCGGCACGGGGAGGUAGUGACAAAAAAUAACGAUACGGGACUCAUCCGAGGCCCCGUAAUCGGAAUGAGAACACCCUAAAUCCUUUAACGAGGAUCUAUUGGAGGGCAAGUCUGGUGCCAGCAGCCGCGGUAAUUCCAGCUCCAAUAGCGUAUAUUAAAGU